AACGGAGGGGGUGAGCGUUGCCCGGAUUUACUGGGCUUAAAGGGUCCGUAGGCGGUGUCCUAAGUCCCCCGUGAAAGCUGCCCGCUCAACGGGCAGAGGUCGGGGGAGACUGGGACACUUGAGGGCGGGAGAGGCCGGCGGAACGGCGGGUGUUGCGGUGAAAUGCGUCGAUAUCCGCCGGAACACCAGUGGCGAAGGCGGCCGGCUGGAACGCCCCUGACGCUGAGGGGCGAAGGCCGGGGGAGCGAACCGG
rnacentral:rRNA from 1 species